rnacentral:lncRNA from 1 species
UGGGAACUUCCAUAUGCCGUGGGUGUGGCUCUAAAAGGACAAAAGACAAAAAAAAAAAAAAAAAAAAAGGGUGUAGGAUGAGGGUCAUUACCACCUUGUGAGAUGCCUUAUACUCCUGGUCCCUAAUGCUAAAUGCUAGCGGUGUCCCCAUCACCACCGUAGCAAUCCCCAAACUAACAGUGCCCAGGAGAGAAAAAAAGAAGGCAGACAGGACCAAGCAAGGACACAGAGAAGAGGAAGCACCAACCAGUGGGAGGUGCCAGGGGAAUGAAGAAUUCCAGCACGGCCAAAUUAAAGUACAGUAUAUAUAAUUCUAUGCAUCUGUUGGUGGCUCUGUAAUUAAUACAAAAAUAAUUGCCUCUUUUCGCCUGGCUCUCCCUCACCAACUCUACUUAAUGAACACUGCCAGUGACUUUUUAGAUAGGCAAUUAAAAUUUUUUAUUUAUUUCCGUUUUAUGUUUAUAGUAGUAGCUGCACACAUUGGGGGGAAGAGCGCAUGCAGCAGCAAAGCUUGGCCUCAACUACCACUCGAAAGGCAACCAAGAGCAUUUGCUUUCAUUUUUUUUUUUUCUUAAUCUCUUGUACACAAUUUGUUCUGAACGGUAAAACGUAAUGACAUCCAUUCUCAUGCCCUGUUCCUUCACUUUCUAGUUUUAAUUUUCCGCCAGUCCUCAUCUUCAGACCUAGAGGGAAAAGGGGUUCUCUUCUUUUAAGAUAAAAAAUAAAUUUUUUUAAAAAAGGGUAUGUUUUCCCAAAAGUGGUCCAAGAGUUAGGUCUCCUCUUUACUGUCCUCUUCUAGGACAGAAACACUGACCUUCCAGAAGAGCCUAGCACUUCCUCAAUCGGGGUGGGAUGUGAGAACUCUCAGACAGAAAUAGCAUCAUGGCCGUGUUUUAUUUUAUUUAUUUAUUUAUCUAUCUAUUUAUUUAUUUUGCUUAGGGUCGCACUCUCGGCAUGUGGAGGCCAGCAGCUGUAGCUCCAAUUCGACCCCUACCCUGGGAACUUCCAUAUGCCAUGGGUGUGGCCCUAAAAAGUAAUAAAUAAAUAAAGAGCACUUCUUCACCACAAAAAUGUUGCUAUCUUUUGACUCAGAAAUUUAAGCCUAUAAAAAUAUCCCAACAUAUUGAAUGUCUUUAAACACAAAGAUGUUCAUCACAGUGUUAAGUAUUAUUGAAUAAAGUUGGAAAUGAAUAAAUUACCCAACAUCAAAAGAAUGUUUUAUUAAACUCUGAUAAUAUAAGUAAUAGAAUUCAUCUUGCUGUUUGCAAUGAUGUUUCCAAGAGAAAGAAUACAGAGGAGUCUCCGUUUCCAUUUCCAUUGUGGCUCAGUGGAAAUGAACCCGACUAGAAUCCAUGAGGAUUUGGGUUUGAUACCUGGCCUCGCUCACUGGGUCAAGGAUCUGCUGUGGCUGUGGCUGUGAUGCAGGCUGGCAGCUGCAGCUCUGAUUUGACCCCUAGCCUGGGAACUUCCAAAAAAGCCUGGGGUGCAGCCCUAAAUAGCAAAAAAAAAAAAAAAAAAAAAA